rnacentral:rRNA from 2 species
CGGAAGAUGUAACGGGGCUAAACCAUGCACCGAAGCUGCGGCAGCGACACUAUGUGUUGUUGGGUAGGGGAGCGUUCUGUAAGCCUGCGAAGGUGUGCUGUGAGGCAUGCUGGAGGUAUCAGAAGUGCGAAUGCUGACAUAAGUAACGAUAAAGCGGGUGAAAAGCCCGCUCGCCGGAAGACCAAGGGUUCCUGUCCAACGUUAAUCGGGGCAGGGUGAGUCGACCCCUAAGGCGAGGCCGAAAGGCGUAGUCGAUGGGAAACAGGUUAAUAUUCCUGUACUUGGUGUUACUGCGAAGGGGGGACGGAGAAGGCUAUGUUAGCCGGGCGACGGUUGUCCCGGUUUAAGCAUGUAGGCUGAUUGUCCAGGCAAAUCCGGAUAAUCAAGGCUGAGGUGUGAUGACGAGGCACUACGGUGCUGAAGUAACAAAUGCCCUGCUUCCAGGAAAAGCCUCUAAGCAUCAGGUAACAUCAAAUCGUACCCCAAACCGACACAGGUGGUCAGGUAGAGAAUACCAAGGCGCUUGAGAGAACUCGGGUGAAGGAACUAGGCAAAAUGGUGCCGUAACUUCGGGAGAAGGCACGCUGGUGUGUAGGUGAAGUCCCUGCGGAUGGAGCUGAGACCAGUCGAAGAUACCAGCUGGCUGCAACUGUUUAUUAAAAACACAGCACUGUGCAAACACGAAAGUGGACGUAUACGGUGUGACGCCUGCCCGGUGCCGGAAGGUUAAUUGAUGGGGUUAUCCGUAAGGAGAAGCUCUUGAUCGAAGCCCCGGUAAACGGCGGCCGUAACUAUAACGGUCCUAAGGUAGCGAAAUUCCUUGUCGGGUAAGUUCCGACCUGCACGAAUGGCGUAAUGAUGGCCAGGCUGUCUCCACCCGAGACUCAGUGAAAUUGAACUCGCUGUGAAGAUGCAGUGUACCCGCGGCAAGACGGAAAGACCCCGUGAACCUUUACUAUAGCUUGACACUGAACAUUGAGCCUUGAUGUGUAGGAUAGGUGGGAGGCUUUGAAGCGUGGACGCCAGUCUGCGUGGAGCCAACCUUGAAAUACCACCCUUUAAUGUUUGAUGUUCUAACGUUGGCCCCUGACCGGGGUUGCGGACAGUGUCUGGUGGGUAGUUUGACUGGGGCGGUCUCCUCCCAAAGCGUAACGGAGGAGCACGAAGGUUAGCUAAUCCUGGUCGGACAUCAGGAGGUUAGUGCAAUGGCAUAAGCUAGCUUGACUGCGAGCGUGACGGCGCGAGCAGGUGCGAAAGCAGGUCAUAGUGAUCCGGUGGUUCUGAAUGGAAGGGCCAUCGCUCAACGGAUAAAAGGUACUCCGGGGAUAACAGGCUGAUACCGCCCAAGAGUUCAUAUCGACGGCGGUGUUUGGCACCUCGAUGUCGGCUCAUCACAUCCUGGGGCUGAAGUAGGUCCCAAGGGUAUGGCUGUUCGCCAUUUAAAGUGGUACGCGAGCUGGGUUUAGAACGUCGUGAGACAGUUCGGUCCCUAUCUGCCGUGGGCGCUGGAGAAUUGAGGGGGGCUGCUCCUAGUACGAGAGGACCGGAGUGGACGCAUCACUGGUGUUCGGGUUGUCAUGCCAAUGGCACUGCCCGGUAGCUAAAUGCGGAAGAGAUAAGUGCUGAAAGCAUCUAAGCACGAAACUUGCCCCGAGAUGAGUUCUCCCUGAGACUUUAAGUCUCCUGAAGGAACGUUAAAGACGAUGACGUUGAUAGGCCGGGUGUGUAAGCGCAGCGAUGCGUUGAGCUAACCGGUACUAAUGAACCGUGAGGCUUAACCUU